UAGGGAAUCUUCCGCAAUGGGCGAAAGCCUGACGGAGCAACGCCGCGUGAGUGAUGAAGGUCUUCGGAUCGUAAAACUCUGUUAUUAGGGAAGAACAAAUGUGUAAGUAACUAUGCACGUCUUGACGGUACCUAAUCAGAAAGCCACGGCUAACUACGUGCCAGCAGCCGCGGUAAUACGUAGGUGGCAAGCGUUAUCCGGAAUUAUUGGGCGUAAAGCGCGCGUAGGCGGUUUUUUAAGUCUGAUGUGAAAGCCCACGGCUCAACCGUGGAGGGUCAUUGGAAACUGGAAAACUUGAGUGCAGAAGAGGAAAGUGGAAUUCCAUGUGUAGCGGUGAAAUGCGCAGAGAUAUGGAGGAACACCAGUGGCGAAGGCGACUUUCUGGUCUGUAACUGACGCUGAUGUGCGAAAGCGUGGGGACCAAACAGG
rnacentral:rRNA from 1 species